rnacentral:rRNA from 1 species
GACAGAGGCCUCAAGCGUUAGGCGGAAUCACUGGGCUUAAAGGGCGCGCAGGCGGUCUUGAAAGUCAGGCGUGAAAGCCCCGGGCUUAACCUGGGAAUUGCGCUUGAUACUCUGAGACUGGAGUACGGGAGAGGAGAGUGGAAUUCCCAGUGUAGAGGUGAAAUUCGUAGAUAUUGGGAAGAACACCAGUGGUGAAGGCGGCUCACUGGCUCAUUACUGACGCUCAUGCGCGACAGCGUGGGGAUCAAACAGG